AUUGAACGCUGGCGGCAUGCCUUACACAUGCAAGUCGAACGGCAGCACGGGUGCUUGCACCUGGUGGCGAGUGGCGAACGGGUGAGUAAUACAUCGGAACGUACCUUAUCGUGGGGGAUAACGCAGCGAAAGCUGUGCUAAUACCGCAUACGCCCUGAGGGGGAAAGCGGGGGAUCGCAAGACCUCGCGCGAUUAGAGCGGCCGAUGCCUGAUUAGCUUGUUGGUGGGGUAAAAGCCCACCAAGGCGACGAUCAGUAGCUGGUCUGAGAGGACGAUCAGCCACACGGGGACUGAGACACGGCCCAGACUCCUACGGGAGGCAGCAGUGGGGAAUUUUGGACAAUGGGGGCAACCCUGAUCCAGCAAUGCCGCGUGAGUGAAGAAGGCCUUCGGGUUGUAAAGCUCUUUUGUCAGGGAAGAAACACCGGCUCUAACACAGUCCGGGAAUGACGGUACCUGAAGAAGAAGCCCCGGCUAACUUCGUGCCAGCAGCCGCAGUAA
rnacentral:rRNA from 1 species